UAUUUGUAAGGUAUUUGACAUGUAAAGAACUAAAGCAAACAUAAUUAUGUCUACACGGUCGUCAUGUAUGAAGUCUUAUUUCUAAAACGUAUGUGACAUGUAAAGAAGUAAAGCAAGCUUAAUUUGGACGACGAGAUCGACAGAUAUGAAGUCUUACUUCUAAAACAAAGAUGGAAUCAAGAGAAAGCAGAAAUCUUUUUUACAUCAGAAGAGUAAUUAAUGUGGUACAAACGGAACUUGCUCAAUUUUUCAUCAAAGAAUGGAACUCUCGUUACACAUCAACACAUGGAGAAUGGGAUGAUACCAAAAAAAGUGGCAAAAUAUUUUGCACUUUAGAAUCGGGUAGAAGGUUGGAUAAAAACCUACAAUUAAAAUAUCAGGAGGGAGACACAAGUAAAUGGGACUGCACAACAUUAUUCGAUGCUAUACUUUAUUCAAAAUCGAUUAGCGGACAUCUUGAUAAAAAAACAAAGGAUGCUGUUGAUGCACUUCGUGUUGAAAGAAACAAAGAAGCACAUUGGUAUGAAAGCGAAUACUCAGAUGAUGAUUUUGAUGAUAUAGUCAAUAUCAUUGAAAAAUCAUUUCAAGAUUUGAAAUUUUCC